rnacentral:lncRNA from 10 species
UAUUCCCAGUAUGCCCCCAUUUUACAGAUGGAAAAGCUGGACAGAGGCGGGAAGAGAGGGCUGAGAUAUGAUCCAGUUCACUGAUUCAGUGAUAAACCAAGGCCAUCACACUAACACUCCAGGGUGCUCGCUAGACCAAGAGGAAGUCCCAAGGAGGAGGUGGCUCCAGAGCAUUUCAGAAAACAUCCUCCAGCCCCUAUUCUACUCU